CUUGGCACUUUCUGCAGUAGCUCUGGAAAUUCUCUUUCAAGAGUGUCUUUAGAAGAUGUGAAAAAAAAUAUACAACGAAGGCUUCUGCCAAGCACCACCCAACAGAAAGGCAGCUCGUAAAAACACGACGCUGUGUCCUCAUCUACCUUAUUCACCAGAUCUGUCGCUGUGCAACUUCCAGCUUUUCCUGGAGUAAAAAUGACCAUGAAAGGGACAUCAAGGCAGCCAGAACAACACAACCAAAGACGCUCAUGAACGAGGACUUCCAGAGCCGCUCCAGAAACCUCCUUUCCAGGCCUCCUACCUGGGAUAAACACACAAGCAGAAUCUGCAGAGCAGGAGAGAAGGCGUGCAAUUGCUGGUUAAGGCAGAGAUGUGGAUGAACCCUGGAGUCGGACUGGCACGGACUCCGGUUGCUGCCUGGAAGGACCUUCCCUGGAGAGGCAGGAAGCAGAUGGGGUGUGAAGGGGAAGAUGAAAUGCUCACGAGAGGGGAUCCAGCCUUCCCAGCUUUGGGUCCGUUUGCUUCUCACGCACGCAUUGGGCGUUUGACCCAUGUGUGGCUCAUCAAGUCUCUGUACACAGACAGCCACGUAAGGAGAUUAGAGUUGGGGAGAAUGAAACGCAGGCUUUCCUUGAAUUGUUGGGAAAGAAAGUCUCUUUCCUGCUGGAUUUGAACCCGGGACAGUGCAGCUUUACAGCAACUGGCAGCCACCACCAGCGCCUCUGGAAGCCACGGUAGAGAAGAGAAAGGCGAGAGAGGAAGACAGAUCUGGGCAGGGAUGAUGUCGUUUGAGCCACUGAACGAAAUUCUACCUACAGUGAAUUAACCCCAAUUGUUCUGUGUUGUGUAGUUUCUCUUCUGUAAACCAGUGUGAGCUAAGUCUUAAUCUGACAGGACUCCUAGCCUCGCUGAAAGGCACGAAGAACGAGCCCUCUGUGAACACCUCUACAGUUACCGAAGCAUAGCUACCUCUCUGUCCUGACUCCCCAGCUCUCCUGUUGUGGUGAAGAAGGGGCUCUUAUUCCUAUUGUCACAGAGAGGCCACCUGUGGCUCAGGGAGCUGACAGUCCACAGUGAGACGGCCUGCACAUCAAGAUAGAAAUCCUGCUCCCUUCAAUCUGGUUCCAGAGUUUCUCUGCACAGAUAAUGUCAUGUUAAAUUAAACUCCAAUAAUGUUGAACUAAA